rnacentral:rRNA from 1 species
AGUGAACGCUGGCGGUAGGCCUAACACAUGCAAGUCGAACGGCAGCACAGGAGAGCUUGCUCUCUGGGUGGCGAGUGGCGGACGGGUGAGGAAUACAUCGGAAUCUACUUUUUCGUGGGGGAUAACGUAGGGAAACUUACGCUAAUACCGCAUACGACCUACGGGUGAAAGCAGGGGACCUUCGGGCCUUGCGCGAUUGAAUGAGCCGAUGUCGGAUUAGCUAGUUGGCGGGGUAAAGGCCCACCAAGGCGACGAUCCGUAGCUGGUCUGAGAGGAUGAUCAGCCACACUGGAACUGAGACACGGUCCAGACUCCUACGGGAGGCAGCAGUGGCGAAUAUUGGACAAUGGGCGCAAGCCUGAUCCAGCCAUACCGCGUGGGUGAAGAAGGCCUUCGGGUUGUAAAGCCCUUUUGUUGGGAAAGAAAUCCAGCUGGCUAAUACCCGGUUGGGAUGACGGUACCCAAAGAAUAAGCACCGGCUAACUCCGUGCCAGCCGCCGCAGUAA